AUUUUAUAAUUGUGUACCCAAGACACAGAUAGCCCUUUUGUGAACAGCAUGCCAGGCUAUAUUAAAUUUCUGUCAAAUAUGGAAUAAAUUUGACACACUAAGAUCCUCACCCUUUCCAAUGAACCCCAUAUCUAUAAAACAGAGCAUUCCCACAUGGAAUGAGACCCAGGGACUUCAGUGGUAUAGAGGAAACAGGGCUAUAUAUUUUCUUACAAAUGUAU